rnacentral:rRNA from 1 species
UACGUAGGGUGCAAGCGUUUGUCCGGAAUUAUUGGGCGUAAAGAGCUCGUAGGCGGUCUGUCGCGUCGGCUGUGAAAACUCGGGGCUCAACCCCCGAGCCUGCAGUGGGUACGGGCAGACUAGAGUGCGGUAGGGGAGAUUGGAAUUCCUGGUGUAGCGGUGGAAUGCGCAGAUAUCAGGAGGAACACCGGUGGCGAAGGCGGUUCUCUGGGCCUGUACUGACGCUGAGGAGCGAAAGCGUGGGGAGCGAACAGG